GAUCCUGCUCAGGAUGAACGCUAGCUACAGGCUUAACACAUGCAAGUCGAGGGGCAGCAUUUUAGUUUGCUUGCAAACUGAAGAUGGCGACCGGCGCACGGGUGAGUAACACGUAUCCAACCUGCCGAUAACUCUGGAAUAGCCUUUCGAAAGAAAGAUUAAUACCGGAUGGCAUACGAAUAUCGCAUGAUAUUUUUAUUAAAGAAUUUCGGUUAUCGAUGGGGAUGCGUUCCAUUAG
rnacentral:rRNA from 1 species